rnacentral:rRNA from 1 species
GAUCUGGCUCAGGACGAACGCUGGCGGCGCGCCUAACACAUGCAAGUCGAACGAGCGAGAGAGAGCUUGCUUUCUCGAGCGAGUGGCGAACGGGUGAGUAACGCGUGAGGAACCUGCCUCAAAGAGGGGGACAACAGUUGGAAACGACUGCUAAUACCGCAUAAGCUCACAGCUCGGCAUCGAGCAGAGGGAAAAGGAGCAAUCCGCUUUGAGAUGGCCUCGCGUCCGA